rnacentral:rRNA from 1 species
GAUGAACGCUGGCGGCGUGCCUAAUACAUGCAAGUCGAGCGAACAGACGAGGAGCUUGCUCCUCUGACGUUAGCGGCGGACGGGUGAGUAACACGUGGAUAACCUACCUAUAAGACUGGGAUAACUUCGGGAAACCGGAGCUAAUACCGGAUAAUAUAUUGAACCGCAUGGUUCAAUAGUGAAAGACGGUUUUGCUGUCACUUAUAGAUGGAUCCGCGCCGCAUUAGCUAGUUGGUAAGGUAACGGCUUACCAAGGCAACGAUGCGUAGCCGACCUGAGAGGGUGAUCGGCCACACUGGAACUGAGACACGGUCCAGACGCCUACGGGAGGCAGCAGUAGGGAAUCUUCCGCAGUGGGCGAAAGCCUGACGGAGCAACGCCGCGUGAGUGAUGAAGGUCUUCGGAUCGUAAAACUCUGUUAUUAGGGAAGAACAAAUGUGUAAGUAACUAUGCACGUCUUGACGGUACCUAAUCAGAAAGCCACGGCUAACUACGU